rnacentral:rRNA from 1 species
GCUCAGGAUGAACGCUAGCGGGAGGCCUAACACAUGCAAGCCGAGCGGUAGAGAUUCUUCGGAAUCUUGAGAGCGGCGUACGGGUGCGGAACACGUGUGCAACCUGCCUUUAUCAGGGGGAUAGCCUUUCGAAAGGAAGAUUAAUACCCCAUAAUAUAUUAAGUGGCAUCACUUGAUAUUGAAAACUCCGGUGGAUAAAGAUGGGCACGCGCAAGAUUAGAUAGUUGGUAGGGUAACGGCCUACCAAGUCAGUGAUCUUUAGGGGGCCUGAGAGGGUGAUCCCCCACACUGGUACUGAGACACGGACCAGACUCCUACGGGAGGCAGCAGUGAGGAAUAUUGGACAAUGGGUGAGAGCCUGAUCCAGCCAUCCCGCGUGAAGGAUGACGGCCCUAUGGGUUGUAAACUUCUUUUGUAUAGGGAUAAACCUUUCCACGUGUGGAAAGCUGAAGGUACUAUACGAAUAAGCACCGGCUAACUCCGUGCCAGCAGCCGCGGUAAUACGGAGGGUGCAAGCGUUAUCCGGAUUUAUUGGGUUUAAAGGGUCCGUAGGCGGAUCUGUAAGUCAGUGGUGAAAUCUCACAGCUUAACUGUGAAACUGCCAUUGAUACUGCAGGUCUUGAGUAAGGUAGAAGUAGCUGGAAUAAGUAGUGUAGCGGUGAAAUGCAUAGAUAUUACUUAGAACACCAAUUGCGAAGGCAGGUUACUAUGUCUUAACUGACGCUGAUGGACGAAAGCGUGGGGAGCGAACAGGAUUAGAUACCCUGGUAGUCCACGCCGUAAACGAUGCUAACUCGUUUUUGGGGCUUCGGCUUCAGAGACUAAGCGAAAGUGAUAAGUUAGCCACCUGGGGAGUACGUUCGCAAGAAUGAAACUCAAAGGAAUUGACGGGGGCCCGCACAAGCGGUGGAUUAUGUGGUUUAAUUCGAUGAUACGCGAGGAACCUUACCAAGGCUUAAAUGGGAAUUGAUCGGUUUAGAAAUAGACCUUCCUUCGGGCAAUUUUCAAGGUGCUGCAUGGUUGUCGUCAGCUCGUGCCGUGAGGUGUUAGGUUAAGUCCUGCAACGAGCGCAACCCCUGUCACUAGUUGCUACCAUUAAGUUGAGGACUCUAGUGAGACUGCCUACGCAAGUAGAGAGGAAGGUGGGGAUGACGUCAAAUCAUCACGGCCCUUACGCCUUGGGCCACACACGUAAUACAAUGGCCGGUACAGAGGGCAGCUACACAGCGAUGUGAUGCAAAUCUCGAAAGCCGGUCUCAGUUCGGAUUGGAGUCUGCAACUCGACUCUAUGAAGCUGGAAUCGCUAGUAAUCGCGCAUCAGCCAUGGCGCGGUGAAUACGUUCCCGGCCUUGUACACACCGCCCGUCAAGCCAUGGAAGUCUGGGGUACCUGAAGUCGGUGACCGUAAAAGGAGUGCCUAGGGUAAAACAGGU